rnacentral:rRNA from 1 species
GAGUUUGAUCCUGGCUCAGGAUGAACGCUGGCGGCGUGCUUAACACAUGCAAGUCGAACGAAGCACUCUUUUAGAUUUCCUUCGGGGAAGAAGAAAUUGUGGCUGAGUGGCGGACGGGUGAGUAACGCGUGGGCAACCUGCCCCAUACAGGGGGAUAACAGCCGGAAACGGCUGCUAAAACCGCAUAAGCGCACAAGGGCCGCAUGGCCUGGUGUGAAAAACUCCGGUGGUAUGGGAUGGGCCCGCGUCUGAUUAGCUAGUUGGCGGGGGAGAGGCCCACCAAGGCGACGAUCAGUAGCCGACCUGAGAGGGUGGCCGGCCACAUUGGGACUGAGACACGGCCCAAACUCCUACGGGAGGCAGCAGUGGGGAAUAUUGCACAAUGGGGGAAACCCUGAUGCAGCGACGCCGCGUGAGCGAAGAAGUAUUUCGGUAUGUAAAGCUCUAUCAGCAGGGAAGAAAAAUGACGGUACCUGAGUAAGAAGCACCGGCUAAAUACGUGCCAGCAGCCGCGGUAAUACGUAUGGUGCAAGCGUUAUCCGGAUUUACUGGGUGUAAAGGGAGCGCAGGCGGUGCGGCAAGUCUGAUGUGAAAGCCCGGGGCUCAACCCCGGGACUGCAUUGGAAACUACCGAACUAGA